UACGGGGGGAGCAAGCGUUGUUCGGAUUUACUGGGCGUAAAGGGCGCGUAGGCGGCCACCGCAAGUCGACUGUGAAAUCUCCGGGCUUAACCCGGAAAGGUCAGCCGAUACUGCGGUGCUUGAGGACUGGAGAGGAGACUGGAAUUCAUGGUGUAGCAGUGAAAUGCGUAGAGAUCAUGAGGAAGACCAGUGGCGAAGGCGGGUCUCUGGACAGUUCCUGACACUGAGGCACGAAGGCCAGGGGAGCAAACGGG
rnacentral:rRNA from 1 species